rnacentral:rRNA from 1 species
GUGCCAGCAGCCGCGGUAAUACGGAGGGUCCGAGCGUUAAUCGGAAUUACUGGGCGUAAAGCGUGCGCAGGCGGUUUGUUAAGCCAGAUGUGAAAUUCCCCGGGCUCAACCUUGGGAAUUGCAUUUGGAACUGGCGAACUAGAGUCUUGUAGAGGGGGGUAGAAUUUCCAGGUGUAGCGGUGAAAUGCGUAGAGAUCUGGAGGAAUACCGGUGGCGAAGGCGGCCCCCUGGACAAAGACUGACGCUCAUGCACGAAAGCGUGGGGAGCAAACAGGAUUAGAUACCCUGGUAGUCC